AGUUUGGACACGACAGUCUAGUAGGAUUGACGUUUUCAUACUUCUCUGCAUAUCAGUUUAUAUUGAUCAACAAACCUUUUUCCGAUUCUAUGCAUGGCGUAUACAUGAUACAGCAUAUGAUCCAGCUUUUCUGAGGUCCUCUCCCUGUGGUCUACUACAGUUACCCUCAUAUAACCAGUGUAUGCAGGAUGUGAAGAGUAAUCGUAUAGUACAAGGACAAUCAAACUCCAGGAGUGGGUACAUCCAUCAAACCCAGAGAUGUCUUCGCUAAUGAGCCAAGAUCAUAGACACUUGUGGAAUUAGGAUUAUGUUCUUUAUGAGAUAUUGUACAUAAUAAACUCUUUAUAUCUACA